GUGGUGGGGGUGGUCGUCGUAGUGACGGCAUCGGACAAUCUGAAGCUCCAUGAACCAAAUAUCAACUAUAUCAAAUAUUAACGAUAUCAAAAAAAGAAAGAAAAAAAGAAGAAAAGAACAGUUGAAUCUCAUACAGUAUUUCACAAACACUGGAAUGCAAUUUUGGUUGUCCAGAUGUGAAUUUUAUGCAAGACGAAGUAUAAGGUGUGAUUUCCUGCAAUAGAUGAGAACGAUUAGUAAUAACAUCUUUACAUUCGAGUGACAGCAAAAAUACCGCUUUGUCUUUGUUAUAUGAUAAAAGUAUGGGGAAAAGAAGAUAUCUGUAGACAGUAGAUUGGAUGUUUAAAAUACAGACCUGAAAGAUCAGCUCUAUACUAAUAUAGUAAACGAAUACACUAUGUGGACGUGCGUGGCUUAGUGGUUAGGUACUGCAUUCUUUAUCGUGAGAUUAUGGUUACGAUUUCUCUACCGGUUGAUGCCUUGUGUUCUAGAACAAAAUAUUACAUUGCCAGCUCAUUCAGCUGGCAAAACCGAGUAACUCUACUACAAACCGGGGUUCUGUCCAGAUGAGGAAUAUAUACGCCAGAGAAGCCAAGGAAACCGGUCUUAAGAACUCUGGCUCGGGAUGGACAUUUGAUUUUCUCUUUUCCUUUGAUACUUAAAUACUAAGAAAUAUGUAUGGAGAAAUAUGUAUUAA